CCCCCUGUAGUUUAAGUUAAAAAUAAUAAACUGCAAAUUUAUAGAUGGGGGGAAUUUCCUCAGGGGGU
rnacentral:tRNA from 1 species